GAUGAACGCUGGCGGCGUGCCUAAUACAUGCAAGUCGAGCGAACGGACGAGAAGCUUGCGUCUCUGCUGUUAGCGGCGGACGGGUGAGUAACACGUGGAUAACCUACCUAUAAUACUGGGAUAACUUCGGGAAACCGGAGAUAAUACCGGAUGAUAUGUUGAACCGCAUGGUUCAAAAGUGAAAGACGGUCUUGCUGUCACUUAUAGAUGGAUCCGCGCUGCAUUAGCUAGUUGGUAAGGUAACGGCUUACCAAGGCAACGAUGCAUAGCCGACCUGAGAGGGUGAUCGGCCACACUGGAACUGAGACACGGUCCAGACUCCUACGGGAGGCAGCAGUAGGGAAUCUUCCGCAAUGGGCGAAAGCCUGACGGAGCAACGCCGCGUGAGUGAUGAAGGUCUUCGGAUCGUAAAACUCUGUUAUUAGGGAAGAACAUAUGUGUAAGUAACUGUGCACAUCUUGACGGUACCUAAUCAGAAAGCCACGGCUAACUACGUG
rnacentral:rRNA from 1 species